CCAGGUUGGAAUCAGUGGGAGAUCCGCUCAGAUGUAUCAGCGAACUCGUUGGACGGUCAUCUGUGCAAAACGGCGCCUGAUGGUGUACAAAUGUCGCCGUUACCACCUGUACGCUAUAAACCAAGCAACCAUCGAACAUAGAAUGGCCAAGAAACAAUGUGAAGAUAAACAGAUGGCCCUUCCAAAAUACAGGACUCAAUGUUUUCAGUCGUUUCUCAAGGUACUUGGCACAGCGCUAGCCUGGAUUGAAGGACUUCCUGACCGCUAUUAUAGCGACCCAUGGCCCAUCGUCUGUGUAAAAUCGGUAUACUGCAACGUGCCUGCUAUUGCUAAUGGAACAGCCGACAAGACAGCCGUCAGAUUUACACACGAUGUAGCGUAUUCGUGCAAUAAUGGCCAUGCGCUGGUGGGAAAUCCGACAGCAAGUUGCAAAGCUGAUGGAACAUUCACUUCAGUGCCUGUCUGUG